CCCAGUGUAGCGGUGAAAUGCGUAGAGAUUGGGAAGAACAUCGGUGGCGAAAGCGUGCUACUGGGCUGUAUCUGACACUCAGGGACGAAAGCUAGGGGAGCGAAAGGGAUUAGAUACCCCUGUAGUCCUAGCCGUAAACGAUGGAUACUAGGCGUGGCUUGUAUCGACCCGAGCCGUGCCGAAGCUAACGCGUUAAGUAUCCCGCCUGGGGAGUACGCACGCAAGUGUGAAACUCAAAGGAAUUGACGGGGGCCCGCACAAGCGGUGGAGUAUGUGGUUUAAUUCGAUGCAACGCGAAGAACCUUACCGAGACUUGACAUGUCGCGAACCCUGGUGAAAGCUGGGGGUGCCUUCGGGAGCGCGAACACAGGUGGUGCAUGGCUGUCGUCAGCUCGUGUCGUGAGAUGUUGGGUUAAGUCCCGCAACGAGCGCAACCCUCGUUCUUAGUUGCCAGCAUUAAGUUGGGGACUCUAAGGAGACUGCCGGUGACAAACCGGAGGAAGGUGGGGAUGACGUCAAGUCAGCAUGCCCCUUACGUCUUGGGCGACACACGUACUACAAUGGUCGGGACAAAGGGCAGCGAACUCGCGAGAGCCAGCGAAUCCCAGCAAACCCGGCCUCAGUUCAGAUUGCAGGCUGCAACUCGCCUGCAUGAAGGAGGAAUCGCUAGUAAUCGCCGGUCAGCAUACGGCGGUGAAAUUCGUUCCCGGGCCUUGUACACACCGCCCGUCACACCAUGGAAGCUGGUCACGCCCGAAGUCAUUACCUCAACCGCAAGGAGGGGGAUGCCUAAGGCAGGGCUAGUGACUGGGGUGAAGUCGUAACAAGGUAGCCGUACCGGAAGGUGUGGCUGGAUCACCUCCUUAAAGGGAGACCUAAUUCAGGUAGGAGACGAAAAAAAAGUAGUCGCUACCAAGAAUCAAUCCCAAAAGGUCGGAGCGAGGCGAAAUUGGCUUUCAAACUAGGUUCUGGGUUCACACAAGACCUGAAUCAGGAACAAGGGCUAUUAGCUCAGGUGGUUAGAGCGCACCCCUGAUAAGGGUGAGGUCCCUGGUUCGAGUCCAGGAUGGCCCACCUGUACAGGUGG
rnacentral:misc_RNA from 1 species